UCUCCUUCCCCCCUUUCCUCAGCUCCUCCUUCAGGCUCUCGGCUGUGAGCUGCAUCUGCUGUGGAGAGAACACGGCACAGAGUGUGCGCCCGUGCCAUGGGUGUGGACACCAGCUGGCCUUGUCCUGAGGCCCAGGAUGUGAACCAGUGCCCUGGAGCCUGGCUCAAGACAAACUCGACUCCACAUGGGCUGUUCAUGUAGAGAAACAAAACUGAGCUGGGCCUGUGAACGCUCCUGCACCCUGGCACUGCUUCCAGCAGCUCUUGGGGCCACAGAGCAGAAGCCCCGGUCUCCUGCCCACCCACACCUGGGCCCUGCAUGGCUUCCUCCACAGGCUGACAGAGCUGGCGGCCAGGGCUCAGGGGCUUCCGCUGGGGAGGGCCAGGCCGAUCCAGGUACCGGGGGUGGGGUUCUUUCCACAGGGUCUGAGACAGGGGUGUCAGGGUGAUAGGUGCUGAUGUUGGCCCAGGGCCCAGCCUGAUUCUGUGAUUGCGGCCUGAGGACAUAGGAGACACUCUGGCCAGGCAUGUCCCCGUGAGGCCCCCAGCCCUCUGCCUUGUCCCUCUGGGGCUCCAGGUCCCCCACAAACUGCCCCACCCGUCUGCUCUGAAAGCAGAUGUCCCCCAAGGAAGCCUGUGAUGGCUGAGCUCGGUGUCCUUUAAUGGGAUGACUAGGACAUCACUGUGACAGACGGAAAGGAGCGAGGAGCCAACGGUCUCCCCUCACCAGGGAGCACAGGAAGCCAAAGGCGGCACAUACAACAAGGAGCUGAGGCCCGGCCUGUCCCCGACCCCAGGACCCCAAGUGACCAGGACACCUGAGAGAAAGGGAGAUGUGCUGGUGACCACAUGUACCACCCCUGCAGCUUCAGGCUCAGCCCGAGCAUCUGGAGACCUGCGGCCCCCCCCCUGAGUCCCACCUGCUCCACCCACCAAGCACCCCCUUCCCUACCCCCCUGCACUUGUCCCCAAGCGGCCAGGUGAUGUCGGAAAACAUGCAGAGACCCGAAGCCUCUCCCUCGCCAGCCCUGCACUCCCAUGCCACCUGCCCGAGCUCACCUUGCUCCUGGGGCCUCAGGCCCAUCCAGCCUGUCCCCUCCCCUGGGGCCAGGUAUCACCGGCACACCCCUGCGUGCUAACUCCUGCGCCCCUGACCCUGCUUGGGUCUUCAGGGCCUGUGCGUGCAUCUGCCUUGCGGUUUGGGGCCUUGGGGUUGGCUCCAUACCACACAGCGGUCGGGAGUCCACGGCCGGCUCGGCCACACAGUGCCACGCUCCAUCCCCGGGCUGUGCCAGGGACUCUGGGGCCCAGAGUCUGCAUCCCGCCUGGCCCCUCGGCUCAGCCUCUGCUUCUGCCAGACCCAUGACCUCGGCACUUGGAAAGGAACAAAGCGCCCAUCCCUCCUCCAGAAGGAGCCCGAGUCCUCACUAAAGCCGGUGUGCCUGCAGGCAGGAGGUGCCCCCGACAGGCCCAAGUGGAGCGAAGCACAAAGGUCUCGGCACAUACAUCCCCUUUGGGGACUGAGGCCACUGCCGACACAGGUGGCCAGGAGCGGGCACGUGCUGCUCUCUGUGCUUGGAGAAGUGGGGUCCCCUGCACUCCGCCAUCAUGGGGCCUGCAGUCCCCAGGGAGGGCAGAGGCGUCACCUGGCUCUGACCACCGACAUGGUCAAGCGGUCCUCCGAGGCCUUGGUGGAUGGGAGCAGCCGGGAAAGGGUGGGUGGAGAGACCACUCCUCCCUCUCUCAGGAUGGACUUGGUCUGCCCUGUGUUCCGUGAAGAAAGCUGUGUGUGUCCCCGUCCAGGACAGCACCAGGACUUCUAAGCUGUUAAAUGGGGUUGCUAAGCCGACACCAUGACUCCGGAACACUCAAGCAAACUCCUCCUAAAACAUCUUCUGGUCUUAAAUAAGUGGGCACUUAGAGAACGUUUAAGAUUUGCCAGGAUUGUCACCUGCAGGGUCUAACCCAUUCUCGUAAUCUUGAACAGAUCCAAAGCCCCGAGUGUUGCUGGGAUCUUCUGGCAAAUGCUGUCUGGGUGUUCCGGCCUGAGGGGCUCUGCUGUCAGGGAGCCGAGCAGCCCCACCUAGGGGUUCCUGGGGUGAUGGGGGCUGCAACUCAGGACAGACCGGGAGCAGGACCUGCGCUGCCCAGAUGCCUGCUGUGGUUGGACCUUGAUGAUCCAAGGAGGGCCCUUGUGACCAGUAUCACAGAACCAAGAGGUGGGAGUUUGGGAGAGACUGAGGGACUCGGCACCCAUGAGAGGUGGGAAAGCCCCGGCUCCUACCCUCGGGCUCCCGGCCCCAGGCGCUGUUGUGAGCGCUACAUCUUUCAAGAACACAUUUUAAUUGCUUCAAAAUUAUUCAGCCACAGGAAUUUUGUUACAGCAGCCGGAAGAGGCCGAGGGAGAGCUGCACUACCUGUGACCCAGCAGGGGUGGGGCAGAGCUUCGGGCUCUGCUGAUGCCCAGCAUGCUGGUGCAGACAACUGCGGACUCUUCCGAGAGCUGCAGCUUGGGCCUUGUGUAUGUGGCAGCACCGCCUGACCACUGACAGACACUGAAGGUGACGUCUACCUCCCCGGGCCUGGGAGAAAGACUUUUUCUCUUACUUUAAGUAGCACAGUAGCUAAAGAGAGAUCAUUUUAGCCUUGAAAUGCACUGUGAAGGAGGAAAAACAGCAGAAGAACUCAUCACAGCUGAGCUAGCUGGACACCCUUGGAACCUAGAAACAAGAUCAGGGUCAGCAGGAGGAGCCCCUGCCUCCACCUUUGGAUGCCCCUGGACUGCGGGUCCCCAGCAGCUGCUGUGUCUGAACCCACACAGCCAGCCCACAGGCAGGAGCCCACAGGCCUUGCUGCUGAGUGGUGUCCCAGCCGCAAGAGGAGCCAUCCACGGUCUGGAUCUAGCUCAGGGGAUCGAACUCGGGAACUUCCGCUUGCGAGCCAGGUGGCGGAACCAUUGAUGAAUCCCCAGCCUGUCACUAGCACACUUAACCUAAAAUAAAGUCCACUCCUGUACUCGGUUCCUGUGGUCAUGGAGGUUCUCAAAUGAUGCAGAGCAGAAUCUCAGUUCUUCUGGAAGCAGACUUACUGGUCUCAGAGGCUGCAGUGGUACCCUGUGGUCUGGCAUAGUUUCUGUGCUUCUUCGAGAAGCAAACGAAAGCAGGGGCGCACAGUAAGCAGCCGUGCAGACUCUGGCGUUGGAGGUGGGUCUGAGAUUUCGGUUCCGAGGCUUCUCUGAGGCUGCUUCUCAAGGUUCACAAUCCAUGCAAUUUCACCAGAUGUGCCUUCCAAAUCGGCUCCUUCAUCCGGCCCAUGAGUCCCGGCACCCACAGCUAAGGUCACAGAGGAUGCCACCGCCGCCACCCGAAGCAGCCCGCUCCUGGCAGCUGCACAGUGGUCCAACACCAGCCCAGAGGGACAGCGGAGGAGGAGAUAGAAGUAAGCGCUCUCCAGCACUGCUGGGCCUGGCCUGGGGUUUAGGAGAGAAGAGGAAGAAAGGGAAGUGCUUUUUGUCCUUUCUCUGUAGCCAACUGGCUCCAUCCUUCAGGGUCUUGUUUCUCCUGCUGAAAAAUGCAGUUCGUGGUAAUUGCCUCAGGGAACUGGAAUACAUUUUACCAGUUAACUUUUCAAAACCCAAAGGAGGAAGAGGGUGACUUGGGUCCUUCAUGUUGAGGUGGGACCCUUCGGAAAUGGGACAGCAUGGGAACAGCUUGGCGAAGUGACAAUAACAUCAUCCACUCUGUGAGGCUGGCUCUUCCCUGCCUCCCAGAAUCUACCAAAUUUAACAGAGGACAACAGCAAGGUGAAACAAAGGAACAAGGACGCUGCCUGCAGUGUUUUCACUGUAUUUCUACAUGAAGCUUUUUCCCUUUACCUGAUUGGAACCAUGUCCCACCCAUAUCAUUUAAAAAUUUUGCUGCAGAAGAUGAAAAUCUCCUUGCUGGCCCCAUACAUGACCCUGCGGUGCAAUGCUGUUUGGAUUUGGUGACCUCUCCUGCACUGGAGUGAGUCCUGCGUGUUUACAUUUCCACACACACACACAAAGCCUUCCAGACCAGCUGCACAGUGAACUGUUUGAGGCACCUUCCUGACCAGGGUACAGUUUACACAAGUAGCAAGCAGGUGACACCACCAAGCCCUUUCCAUUAACUAGCCUCGGGCAUCUAACCAGAACAGAACACCCUUGCCAGUUUAUGCAUUUAAUCGCAUGAAAAAAUAUAUUCUGAGCACAGCAGUGCUGCUCAUGAAUAAGAUGUUUUUGAUGAAAGUUUCCAAGUGGAGAAUAUGGCUCCAGGUGGUCCAAAGCAUGGCUUUCUGGGUGAUCCCUGAACCUGUGACUUGGUUCUGGCACCAAGGCAGGGAGGGAGUAUCUCAUGCCUGCUUUGCCAGCCCCGAGUCCUGGUGCCGAGGUACUGUGUGGGAAUGGUGGUCACAGGGGUAGGCCGGUGGCUUUGAUUUUCCAGUGUACAACGGGACAGAACGUGAGGAAAGUUGGUUAUGGAAAGCCCAUGAGCAGAGUACAGCGUGAUGAAGAACAAAAAGGAAAGGAGGAGCUCUGUUCUGAGCCCUCGAACCCUUGUUUUCCCUGGUUCUCUGCUCCCUGAACAAAGGGAAUGAAAUGAGCUGCAGGCCCAUGAAGCAGCAAGGAGCCCUCUCGGGUGCCCUCUUCCUGUCCAGCAGUGGGGACUGAGCCUUGGCUUCAAUCAUGAACCGAGUAUUGUGAAACGUUGCAGUCUGUUUGAGGGCUCGGGAGUUACUAUUUUGCAGAAAAAUCAGUUUCUGUGGGAUUAGCUGUGUACCCCAACUGUUUCUUCCCGAGACCACCACUGUGUUGAGACAUAAUUAACUCACAAGAACUCGGGCUUUUCCUAGCUCUCUGUAGCUGAGCUGUCUGAUUGGCUCUCCCUGUAUCUGGGAUAGAACAGGGCCACAGGACUACAGGAAAAGCUGUUGAAUUUUAUUUUUGGCUACAGCAUCUUGUCAGAAGCUGGCAUCUGAUGGCUGAAAUAAGACCCCUAAAGCCUGGCAUGGAAAAAUGACCAAGUCCUGCGGCUGGAUGGGAAGGAAGUGUGAGCCCUGCUCUGCCCUCUGCAGUGCCAUCAUCUUGUUACCACACAGCGGCCCAAGCGGGUGCAGGGAGCAGGGCACGCGAGAGCUUUGAAACCGGGGUGGCAGAAAGGCAGGCGCACUGUGUAAGGGAAGGCCAGGGGAGGGCAGAGACAGCUUCGGACACUGCGGCUUCCAUGUCCAGGCCGGGGGUGGCCUGGGCCUCUGAGCAUUGUCUCCCUGGCUCUCCAGACCAACAGAGCUGCCGCUGUUCUGACAAGAGCUCGGGAGCACGGACUGCCGUCUCUCCGGCGGGGCCCUUCUGCACCACUUCUCAGGCACAGUUAGCGCGUUCUUCUAGCCAUGAAAGGAACCAUACAAAUAGCGGGCAACCGUCUGUACCCUGCCCGUCUGAAUGGCGAGGAGUCUGGCACGGUGCUCUCCAUGUCAUGACCCUAGCACAGCGACAGAGUUGCCCACGCCGGCAGUGACAGUCUGGACACGGCAGAGGACACCCUGUCAUCAGGGCUCUUGGGUUUCCCCCUCUUUUGCUUCUCUCGGACCUGCUCUCAGCUUUUCUCUGCUGAGCCCCAAGGAGAAGAGGGAGAGACGCAUGCACCACUGGUUCCAGUUCAGCUGAAGAUGGCUGCUUGCCUGCCACCUGGCAUGGUGACAUUUAAAGGGGGUUGGUGUGUAGUCAGCAUACCUGCAGGAUCUGAACUUGGUUAGCAGGCAAGUCACCCGUGUGUCUCCUAGGCCCCAUUUGGUUGGUUGCACCACGCUCCUACCCAGGGCUCCCAACUGUGGCCUCGAAAGGGGCUGGCUGGGGAGAAGUCACUCUCCACAUGGGGCUCCAGGGAGCCCCAGCUGAGAGCACUGACCUGGUCCAGGCCCAGGCCCUGGGUGCCUGCGGCAGUGAAGGCUGGGAUGCCAGCUUGGGCACCUGACUCCUCCACACACGGGAGGCCCGGCCUGCCCUGGGCACACUUGGAAUCUGGCCUCAGUGAGCCGAGAGGCUUCAUUUAAGGCCAGAGUUUCGGUACACACUGAACGGAAACAUCCAUUCCUCAGCCAGCGUCUCUGACUGCAAUUGUUAAAUCACUCGCAGUUCUCACAGAAACAGCUUGUGGACAGCCAUCCUGGAGCAGGCUUAAGUGGCCCACACUGAAACUUUAGAAAUAGGUUUCCACAGCAUACAGUAAAAGAAAAGCACACCCAUUAGGCCAAGAAGAAAAGUAAAAGCAACCUGGUUUGAUUGUUCCAUCAAAGCAACAUCCAUCACUGAUGAGGCAGAGAGGAGCUCCGAGCUGUGCCUCUGACAUCCGGUCCCACAUCUUCCCUCACGCCUGUGACUGAAACCGGACUUGCCAAUUAAAAAUACACCUGUCAGUAUUUCCAGGAGAGUUUAGACAGAAGACUCCAAAAAUCUUCCCAUAUGAACAAUAUUUUAAGCAGCUUGAAUGGAGAGAACCUUGAGAUCCAUUUAUUUUCCCAAUAAUGAAUGAUAAAUCUUUUUCCAUGUUGGUUUGGGGUAAAGGUGAAACAUCAGAGUCACAGCCUCGAUAACAAGGCUACUUGGAAGAUAAUAAUCACCCUGUAGAUUUUCUCCAAGGACGACAAGAAAACCAAACCAACACCCAAGAAACUUACCAGGGAAGAAAUUCAUUUGCUCCCAGACAUAUUUUGAGAAUAGGAAAAUACACAGGUGUUUGAAGGGGAAAAGGAGAGAUGAUGUACUGCGAACUGAAUUUCCUAAGCAGAUGGCAUUGUGACGGGUCUGGAAAUUUACUUUUCCUCUCUGUGCCUCCUUAUGAAGCCUGGUCCA